rnacentral:lncRNA from 1 species
ACAGCGAAGAGUGGAUGCAACAGAUAGAGUCUGUGCUGACUUCCUUUUUCUCCUCCGGUGCUGGUGCUCAAGAGAGUGUGGGCUUGUGUAUUUCUGACACAUAAUCAGUGAUAAUGUGCUAUUUGCCCUCCACAGAUGCUUCAAGAUUUCCUGGCUGCAUCUGUUUCCAACGAACUGUGACUUCUGGUUUCUUCUCUGAGUGUAUCUGUAUGGACCUGGCAUCACGCCAAACUAGCAGCAACUUAGAAGCAUGCAUGCCGUCUCCACUUCCGACGUAACUACAGGGGACUCGGAAAGCCCAGACCUGAGGGGCAGGGCUGCGGAUGUGACGAAAGCCAAGUGGGUCUAGGGGGAGAUCAAGGAACCAGCAUCUCAGGCUGAGCCCACAAAGCACCAGAGGCUCCUCCUGACGGGCAAAGGGCAGUCGCUUGACUGGAAUAGGAAGCGUGGGAUGUACCGUCUGGAAGCUGGAACUUUCCUGGAGCUGGCUGGCACUGAAGUCGGGGAUAGGAAGCCGCCUGUAAGGAGCUGGAACUCUAGCACAGCUGGAACUCUUACGCCCUCUGGUGGUCAGAGCCUCCCUAGCAGCACCCCGCUGAGAAGAAUGGAUGUUGGAAACGCGCCUGCAGAGAUAGAAUUUCUGGAGUUUUUCAGAUUCUUCCCCAGAGCCCGACCACUAACAUCUUCAUUUCAGCUGUGAACACAAGCCUGCCUAGACUACUCGCCCUGGACUCCUGACUUACGAAACCAUAAAGUGAUAAAUGGGUAUUGUUGAAGCUGCUAAAUUUGGGUAAUAUGUUAUGCAGCAAUACAAAACUAAUACCGGAAGCUUUAUAAGCUUUACAAUAAUAGCAGGCCAAAUGAGAAUUCCAGGCCCACAGGCAGAUAGAUUCUGGACUAGAGAAGAGACAUUCCUAACUUCCAACCAGUGGCGUAAGAGGCAGAAAGGAUAGUACUUCUCAUUUAUCAAGAUUAUAUCUGCUGCCAGGAGUUCCCUUGUGGCACUCUGGGUUAAGGAUCCAGCCUUGUCAAUGCAGCAGCUCUGUUGCUGCUGUAGCAAGGGUCCCUGGCCUGGGAACUUCCACAUGCCGCAGGUGCAUCCAAAAAAAAAAUUAUAUCUGCUGUCUUAUUUCUUCAUGACUGCACACUUCUUUUCACUUUAUGACGUCAGCUGUCAUUGACACUCAUGAAAACUUAAGGAUGGAGAAGGGCUAGUUUGCUCUCUGUGACAGAUGGUAUUUUUCCAAAAAUGAAUCCUAUCUCAUGUGCCCCUCUUCUGAUAAGAUUCUGAUGUUUCUCUGUCAAGAUAUGGGAUCUAAGUUCCUUCGCUUGAAUCUAGCAGACCUGAGACUCUGGCAGGGGUAAUGCUAGGUGACUUUCAAAGCUAAGUCAUAACAGGUGACACACCCAGAUGGCUUGCUCUCUCAGGAUGCUCCUGGCAUCAUGAACCCAAGCCCCAUGCUGUGAGGAAGCCCAAGCAGCCACCUAGAAGCUACUCCUACACCCUUGCAGGAGUCCUGGCACCAACUGAGACACGAGAGUGAGAGAGACUUCAGAAGAUUCCCACUCCCUGCCUUCAAGUCACUCCAGACAUAAACUGCUCUAAGUCCUGUCCAAAUUGCUGAUCUGGAAGCAAAAUAAAUGUUGUUUUAAACC